ACGUAGGGUGCGAGCGUUAAUCGGAAUUACUGGGCGUAAAGCGUGCGCAGGCGGUUUUGUAAGACCGAUGUGAAAUCCCAGGGCUUAAACUGGGAACUGCAUUGGUGACUGCAAGGCUAGAGUGCGUCAGAGGGGGGUGGAAUUCCGCGUGUAGCAGUGAAAUGCGUAGAGAUGCGGAGGAACACCGAUGGCGAAGGCAGCCCCCUGGGAUGACACUGACGCUCAUGCACGAAAGCGUGGGGAGCAAACAG
rnacentral:rRNA from 1 species